AUCAUCAAGGCUCGAUUCAUAUGAAUUCUUGGAUAUAGGUCAAAAAGAAAUGAACAGGACUUGGUGGCAACCACCAUUAAUGCUUGAUUCAUGGAAGCAUGUCCAAUCUUGGUCAAUGAUCUUGCAAUAUUAGCAGACUUUGACUAAAUAGAGAAAUUAGUAGAGAGAAAAGAUAAGAACUAAUUUUUACCUGCAGAUCCAGAUACUUGUUUGAAAAUCCUUGAAUCAUGUGAUCGAUACUCUCAAGGUAAAGCCUGCACUUUUAUUUAUGCUAAGAAAUGAGGUUGGUAGAGGGGAAUGUGAGACAUGAUUUGCUAAGUUGUUGGCUAGGUGAAUUUGGUUGCUAAGGUAGGAUAUGGUAUAAUGUUCUUUUGUGAUUAAGACUUCUUAGAUGUGGAUUGCAGUAUUGUAGAGGUGAUGAUUCUAUGUUUUUAAAUCAUGUGAGUCCCUGCUGUUUUCAAACCUCUUUCAGAGAGACUGCCCGUCUGUUUUGCUUGAGGACAAGCAAAAGGGUAAGUCUGGGGGAGUUGAUAUACCAUGGAUUUUACCCAUUAUUAGCCAUGUUAUAUAGGUGUUUUAAUAACUAAUUACUAUUAUAUAGAGUCUAUUUAGAGUAUUUACAGGUUCAGGUACGUUCUGGAUAAAUAUGGUAAUUUUGUAGCCUUUUGAG
rnacentral:lncRNA from 1 species